ensembl:lncRNA
AUGUGUAUAUAUUCUUUGUGUUUGUGUUUUGGUGGAAGGGUAUCCAUUGUGGUUUUUUACAUUUUCCAUCUCAAUAUUUCUCUCAAGAGCACUAGCAGGGGUGUGCUGAGCCCUGGCUGCCCUGAUGGCCCUGUGGGCACUGACCCAUGCUCUGUGCUUUCUGAGCCUGGCCCCUACCACCAUUACCACUCCUGUCUCGAGUCUGUUCCCUGACUCCCAGAUGAUGAACAAUGCCCUCUUCCAAUGGUCCUCUGCCUUGAUGUUGCUCCCCUGCCACCAAAUCCUUACUACUAUGGUCCUUAGUACCAACUUUGUGUCUUGAAAGAGUCAUACCAAAUACUCGGUUAAACCAGUGAAGAUGAGGAAAUCUGGGGGUGGAGACCACACAGGCCAAAUCUGGUGGAUGAUAUUGGCAGGGGCCACAAGCAACAUUAUCACAUGAUUGACUUUUGUGUUUCUGUCUUGAGGAGAAGACCAAGUCAGGACCCUUUGAGGGGAAGGUUAUCCAAGUCUGCUACGAUCCCUGUAGGUCAGCAGACAUAGCUCUGGUUGCUGGACGCAGCCAGAAACACUGGAUUAUCGCUACAGAAAACAUGCAGGCUGGAGAUACGAUCCUGAACUCUAACCACAUACGCUGAAUCACAGUUGCUGCUUGGGAAGGGGAUGCACAUUCAUUUGGGGCUCUGCCUGUGGGGACCCUCAUCAACAACAUGGAAAGUGAGCCAGGACUGGGUGCCCAGUACAUUUGAACUGCAGGGAUAUGUGGUGUGCUACUGUGGAAGGUGAAUGGCACAGCCAUUAUCCAGCUGCCCUCUAAGAGGCAAAUACAGGUGCUGGAAACGUGCAUGGCAACAGUAGGCUGAGUAUCCAACACUGAUCAUAACAAACGGGUCACUGGCAGGGCAGGUCACAACCACUGGCUGAGCAAGAGGCCUUCCAAAUCUUCCGAAAGAUUUGGCCACCACCCUUCAUGAAGAGUUCUGUGAAGCUGCUUCUGCUGCUACUCAAAGCUGAUAUCCCUGUACUGUAAUAAAAUGACUUCCUCCUCUGAAAAAAUAAGAAAAAAAAGCACUAGCAGGUUCUUGAGCAGCUAGAACCCUUGGAAACCUGUUGUUUUAUCCCAAGUUUCCAAUAUGAGCGUAGCAAUUAGAUUCUCCUUCCCAUCUUUUCUUUUUCCUGGCCCUCAAGGCACUUAAAAUAAAGCCAUUAAUAUUUCAUGUUAAACCUUAGUUUUUAUCAUGCUCACUUCAGCAGCACAUAUACUAAAAUUGGAAUAGUACAGAGAAGAUUAGUAUGGAUGACAUGCAAAUUUUUGAAGUGUUUCAUAUUUUUUAAAGAAUGAAAUACUGUUAUUUACAGCAAUCUGGAGGGCAAUAUGUUAAGUGAAAUAAGCCAGGCACAGAAAGACAAACACCACAUACUCUCAUUUAUUUUUGAAAUCUAAAAACUUGUUCUCACUGAAGUAGAGAGAAUAGUGGUUACCAGAGGAUGGGGAGGGUAGGAAGGAGAGGGAGAUGAUGAGAGCAGUGGUAAAUGUGUAACAAAUUUACAGUUAGAUAGGAGGAAUACGUUCUUAUGUUCUUUUGCACACUAGACUGGAGAUGACAGUUAAAUAGCUAAAGGAGAGGCUUUUGAAUGUUCUAAUCACAAAAAAAGAUAAAUGUUAAAAGUGAUGGUCAUAUUAAUUACCCUGAUUUGGUUAUCACACAAUGUAUGCAUAUGCAAUCAAAACAUUAUGCUGUACCCCAUAAAUAUGUAUCAUUAGUAUGCAUCAAUCAUAAAUUAAAA